CAUAAUAUCAAAGAAACUGAUAAAAUUCAUAUCUGAAAUAUAAUAAGCAGAGCAUUAAGAAAGAAGAAAGCUAUUCCAACUUUGUCCCUUUUCGCCAUAAGAUGACUUGCAAUCGCCAGGAGAAAGCACAACAUUUUCUUUUACAUGAAUUCUGCCUCAUCUAAGUUUUGUCAUCACUGGAUAUGUUUUUUAAAGAGAAUGUCAGAUCCAGAAGGAGUUUAGUAAGCUGUUCCAGGGGUUCAGGACCACCCCAUCCUGUGUAUGGGAAGUAUUCUUGAAAUUAUUAGGAAAACUGGAUAUGGACAAGACUUGUGAU